UACAGGGGGUGCAAACGUUGCUCGGAAUUAUUGGGCGUAAAGCGCGCGUAGGCGGCCACUUAAGUCGGAUGUGAAAGCCCCUGGCUCAACUGGGGAAGUGCACCCGAAACUGAAUGGCUUGAGUGCGAAAGAGGGUCGCGGAAUUCCCGGUGUAGAGGUGAAAUUCGUAGAUAUUCGCAAGAACACCAGUGGCGAAGGCGGCUCACUGGCCCGAUACUGACGCUGAGGCACGAAAGCGUGGGGAGCAAACAGG
rnacentral:rRNA from 1 species